rnacentral:misc_RNA from 1 species
GAUGAAGAACGUAGCGAAAUGCGAUAAGUAAUGUGAAUUGCAGAAUUCAGUGAAUCAUCGAAUCUUUGAACGCACAUUGCGCCCGCCAGUAUUCUGGCGGGCAUGCCUGUUCGAGCGUCAUUUCAACCAUCAAGCCCCAGGCUUGUGUUGGGGACCUGCGGCUGCCGCAGGCCCUGAAAACCAGUGGCGGGCUCGCUGUCACACCGGGCGUAGUAGAUUUUAUCUCGCUCAGGGCGUGCUGCGGGUUCCGGCCGUUAAAAAGCCUUUUUUACCCAAGGUUGACCUCGGAUCAGGUAGGAAGACCCGCUGAACUUAAGCAUAUCAUAAGCGGAGGA